rnacentral:lncRNA from 1 species
UGCGUGUUGAGGUGGGAGAUGAGAAGACUGUGGAGGAACAUAGGAUGGUGGUGCUCCAUUCUGUGAAGCCGGUUGCAUAUAAAAGUUUGAUGGGCCUGAUGGUAGAUUUGGAGCUGCAUGUUGAGGUGGCUGUGGAGGAGCAAAUGAUGGUGCAGCAUGUUGAGGUGGCUGUGGAGGAGCAAAUGAUGGUGCAGCAUGUUGAGGUGGCUGUGUAGGAGCAAAUGAUGGUGCAGCAUGUUGAGGUGGCUGUGGAGGAGCAAAUGAUGGCGCAGCAGCCUGAGAAAAUGAUGAUGGGUUCAUGGCUGCAGGAUAUGCUUGUGGCUGAGCAAACAUGGGAGCAGCAUGAGUAUUGGGU